rnacentral:rRNA from 1 species
UACAGAGGAGCCAAGCGUUGUCCGGAUUGACUGGGCGUAAAGCGCACGCAGGCGGUUGCGCGCGUGGGGUGUCGAAAUCUGGCCGCUUAACGGCCAGGCGCCAUCCCAUACGGCGCGACUGGAGUGAUGCAGAGGUCGAUGGAAUUGCCGGUGUAGUGGUGAAAUGCGUAGAGAUCGGCAGGACACCCAGGGGGAAACCAGUCGACUGGGCAUCUACUGGACGCUGAGGUGCGAGAAGCGUGGGGGAGCGAACCGG